AACGAACGCUGGCGGCAUGCCUAACACAUGCAAGUCGAACGAGACCUUCGGGUUUAGUGGCGCACGGGUGCGUAACGCGUGGGAACCUGCCCUUAGGUUCGGAAUAACUCCCCGAAAGGGGUGCUAAUACCGGAUAAUGUCUUCGGACCAAAGAUUUAUCGCCUUUGGAUGGGCCUGCGUUGGAUUAGCUAGUUGGUAGGGUAAAAGCCUACCAAGGCGACGAUCCAUAGCUGGUCUGAGAGGAUGAUCAGCCACACUGGGACUGAGACACGGCCCAGACUCCUACGGGAGGCAGCAGUGGGGAAUAUUGGACAAUGGGCGAAAGCCUGAUCCAGCAAUGCCGCGUGAGUGAUGAAGGCCUUAGGGUUGUAAAGCUCUUUUACCCGGGAUGAUAAUGACAGUACCGGGAGAAUAAGCUCCGGCUAACUCCGUG
rnacentral:rRNA from 1 species